AUCACUUCUUGGCCUUUUGGCUAAGAUCAAGUGUAGUAUCUGUUCUUAUCAGUUUAAUAUCUGAUACGUCCUCUAUCUGAUGUAUUAAACAGAUUUUUGGAAUUAGGAGAUGGAAUAGGGGCUUGCUCCAUCCAGUCCACGUAUCAACCUGUUAUUGCAGUACCUCCAGGAAUGGUGCACCCCUU
rnacentral:snRNA from 1 species